AUUUGGUCAUUGUGAAAAAGGGAGAACAUGACCUUCCUGGACUUACCGAUACAGAAAAGCCCAGAAUGAGAGGUCCCAAGAGAGCAUCGAAGAUCAGGAAGUUGUUCAACCUUUCCAAGGAGGAUGAUGUUAGGAAGUACGUUAACACCUAUCGUAGGACCUUCACAACAAAAUCUGGUGAGUCAUUUGUCUUUUCUUUCCACUGUUGUUUCAACGAGAUAAGUAUGUUAACUUAUUUUUCAUAUAUUCUGUUUGGCAGGUAAGAAGGUUAGCAAGGCACCGAAAAUUCAGAGGUUGGUAACUCCUUUGACUCUGCAAAGGAAGCGUGCAAGAAUUGCAGAAAAGAAGCAGAGAAUUGCCAAGGCCAAGGCUGAAGCAGCGGAAUACCAGAAGCUCCUUGCUACCAGGUUGAAGGAGCAGCGUGAACGC
rnacentral:lncRNA from 1 species